rnacentral:rRNA from 1 species
UCAAGAAUCUUGGACAAUGGGCGAAAGCCUGAUCCAGCGACGCCGCGUGACCGAAGAAACUCUUCGGAGUGUAAAGGUCUUUUCUGGGGGACGAAACAAUGACGGUACUCCAGGAAUAAGGGGCUGCUAAACUCGUGCCAGCAGCAGCGGUAAUACGAGUGCCCCAAGCGUUAUCCGGAUUUAUUGGGCGUAAAGCGUCUGUAGGCGGUUUGGUAAGUUACAGGUCAAAUCUUCCGACUCAAUCGGAAAACUGCUUGUAAUACUGCUAAACUUGAGACUGGGAGAGGCAGAUGGAAUUGCCGGUGUAACGGUAAAAUGUGUUAAUAUCGGCAAGAACACCAAAUGCGAAAGCAUUCUGCUGGAACAGUUCUGACGCUGAGCGACGAAAGCGUGGGGAGCG